rnacentral:rRNA from 1 species
UUCCGGUUGAUCCCGCCGGACCUGACUGCUAUCGGAUUGAUACUAAGCCAUGCUAGUCUUUGUAGUAAUACAAGGCAUACGGCUCAGUAACGCGUAGUCAACCUACCCUAUGGACGGGGAUAAUCUCGGGAAACUGAGCAUAAUACCCGGCAGACCACUUAUCCUGGAAUGGUUAGUGGUUAAAAUGAUUCGUCGCCAUAGGAUGGGACUGCGGCCUAUCAGCUUGUUGGUGAGGUAAUGGCCCACCAAGGCGAUUACAGGUACGGGCUCUGAGAGGAGAAGCCCGGAGAUGGGUACUGAGACACGGACCCAGGCCCUAUGGGGCGCAGCAGGCGAGAAAACUUUGCAAUGUGCGAAAGCACGACAAGGUUAAUCCGAGUGAUUUCUGCUAAAGAAAUCUUUUGCCAGUCAUAAAACCACUGGUGAAUAAGGGGUGGGCAAGUUCUGGUGUCAGCCGCCGCGGUAAAACCAGCACCUCAAGUGGUCAGGAUGAUUAUUGGGCCUAAAGCAUCCGUAGCCGGCUCUGUAAGUUUUCGGUUAAAUCUAUGCGCUCAACGUAUGGGCUGCCGAAAAUACUGUAGAGAUAGGGAGUGGGAGAGGUAGACGGUACUCGGUAGGAAGGGGUAAAAUCCUUUGAUCUAUCGAUGACCACCUGUGGCGAAGGCGGUCUACCAGAACACGUUCGACGGUGAGGGAUGAAAGCUGGGGGAGCAAACCGGAUUAGAUACCCGGGUAGUCCCAGCUGUAAACGAUGCAGACUCGAUGAUGCAUUGGCAUAUAGCCAGUGCAGUGUCGCAGGGAAGCCGUUAAGUCUGCCGCCUGGGAAGUACGUACGCAAGUAUGAAACUUAAAGGAAUUGGCGGGGGAGCACCACAAGGGGUGAAGCCUGCGGUUCAAUUGGAGUCAACGCCGGG